AUGCACAUGCUGUGAGCUCGAUGAGUAGGGCGGGACACGUGGUAUCCUGUCUGAAUAUGGGGGGACCAUCCUCCAAGGCUAAAUACUCCUGACUGACCGAUAGUGAACCAGUACCGUGAGGGAAAGGCGAAAAGAACCCCGGCGAGGGGAGUGAAAAAGAACCUGAAACCGUGUACGUACAAGCAGUGGGAGCACGCUUAGGCGUGUGACUGCGUACCUUUUGUAUAAUGGGUCAGCGACUUAUAUUCUGUAGCAAGGUUAACCGAAUAGGGGAGCCGAAGGGAAACCGAGUCUUAACUGGGCGUUAAGUUGCAGGGUAUAGACCCGAAACCCGGUGAUCUAGCCAUGGGCAGGUUGAAGGUUGGGUAACACUAACUGGAGGACCGAACCGACUAAUGUUGAAAAAUUAGCGGAUGACUUGUGGCUGGGGGUGAAAGGCCAAUCAAACCGGGAGAUAGCUGGUUCUCCCCGAAAGCUAUUUAGGUAGCGCCUCGUGAAUUCAUCUCCGGGGGUAGAGCACUGUUUCGGCAAGGGGGUCAUCCCGACUUACCAACCCGAUGCAAACUGCGAAUACCGGAGAAUGUUAUCACGGGAGACACACGGCGGGUGCUAACGUCCGUCGUGAAGAGGGAAACAACCCAGACCGCCAGCUAAGGUCCCAAAGUCAUGGUUAAGUGGGAAACGAUGUGGGAAGGCCCAGACAGCCAGGAUGUUGGCUUAGAAGCAGCCAUCAUUUAAAGAAAGCGUAAUAGCUCACUGGUCGAGUCGGCCUGCGCGGAAGAUGUAACGGGGCUAAACCAUGCACCGAAGCUGCGGCAGCGACGCUGAUGCGUUGUUGGGUAGGGGAGCGUUCUGUAAGCCUGCGAAGGUGUGCUGUGAGGCAUGCUGGAGGUAUCAGAAGUGCGAAUGCUGACAUAAGUAACGAUAAAGCGGGUGAAAAGCCCGCUCGCCGGAAGACCAAGGGUUCCUGUCCAACGUUAAUCGGGGCAGGGUGAGUCGACCCCUAAGGCGAGGCCGAAAGGCGUAGUCGAUGGGAAACAGGUUAAUAUUCCUGUACUUGGUGUUACUGCGAAGGGGGGACGGAGAAGGCUAUGUUGGCCGGGCGACGGUUGUCCCGGUUUAAGCGU
rnacentral:rRNA from 1 species